rnacentral:rRNA from 13 species
GAAUCCUGGAGGUAGAGCACUGUUUGGACUAGGGGCCCAUCCCGGGUUACCGAAUUCAGACAAACUCCGAAUGCCAGUGAUUUAUGCUUGGGAGUCAGACUGCGAGUGAUAAGAUCCGUAGUCAAGAGGGAAACAGCCCAGACCACCAGCUAAGGUCCCCAAAUAUCCGUUAAGUGGAAAAGGAUGUGGCGUUGCUUAGACAACCAGGAUGUUGGCUUAGAAGCAGCCAUCAUUUAAAGAGUGCGUAAUAGCUCACUGGUCGAGUGACACUGCGCCGAAAAUGUACCGGGGCUAAACGGAUUACCGAAGCUGUGGAUGGACAUCGUAGAUGUCCGUGGUAGGAGAGCGUUCUAAGGGCGUUGAAGUCAGACCGGAAGGACUGGUGGAGCG